GACGAACGCUGGCGGCGUGCUUAACACAUGCAAGUCGAACGUGAUUUUUGUGGAAAUUCUUUCGGGAAUGGAAAUGAAAUGAAAGUGGCGAACGGGUGAGUAACACGUGAGCAGCCUACCUUACACAGGGGGAUAGCCGUUGGAAACGACGAUUAAUACCGCAUGAGACCACAGAAUCGCAUGAUAUAGGGGUCAAAGAUUUAUCGGUGUAAGAAGGGCUCGCGUCUGAUUAGCUAGUUGGAAGGGUAAAGGCCUACCAAGGCGACGAUCAGUAGCCGGUCUGAGAGGAUGAACGGCCACAUUGGAACUGAGACACGGUCCAAACUCCUACGGGAGGCAGCAGUGGGGAAUAUUGCACAAUGGGGGGAACCCUGAUGCAGCGACGCCGCGUGAGCGAAGAAGGUUUUCGAAUCGUAAAGCUCUGUCCUAUGAGAAGAUAAUGACGGUAUCAUAGGAGGAAGCCCCGGCUAAAUACGUG
rnacentral:rRNA from 1 species